rnacentral:rRNA from 1 species
UGGGGAAUAUUGCACAAUGGGCGCAAGCCUGAUGCAGCCAUGCCGCGUGUGUGAAGAAGGCCUUCGGGUUGUAAAGCACUUUCAGCGGGGAGGAAGGCGGUGAGGUUAAUAACCUCAUCGAUUGACGUUACCCGCAGAAGAAGCACCGGCUAACUCCGUGCCAGCAGCCGCGGUAAUACGGAGGGUGCAAGCGUUAAUCGGAAUUACUGGGCGUAAAGCGCACGCAGGCGGUCUGUCAAGUCGGAUGUGAAAUCCCCGGGCUCAACCUGGGAACUGCAUUCGAAACUGGCAGGCUAGAGUCUUGUAGAGGGGGGUAGAAUUCCAGGUGUAGCGGUGAAAUGCGUAGAGAUCUGGAGGAAUCCCGGUGGCGAAGGCGGCCCCCUGGACAAAGACUGACGCUCAGGUGCGAAAGCGUGGGGAGCAAACAGG